rnacentral:rRNA from 1 species
UGGGGAAUAUUGGACAGUGGGCGCAAGCCUGAUCCAGCAAUGCCGCGUGAGUGAAGAAGGCCUUCGGGUUGUAAAGCUCUUUCAGUCGAGAAGAAAAAGCUGCAGUGAAUAACUGUAGUUCAUGACGGUAUCGACAGAAGAAGCACCGGCUAACUACGUGCCAGCAGCCGCGGUAAUACGUAGGGUGCGAGCGUUAAUCGGAAUUACUGGGCGUAAAGGGUGCGCAGGCGGCUUUGUAAGUCAGAUGUGAAAUCCCCGGGCUUAACCUGGGAAUUGCGUUUGAAACUACAAGGCUAGAGUGUGGCAGAGGGAGGUGGAAUUCCAUGUGUAGCAGUGAAAUGCGUAGAGAUAUGGAAGAACAUCGAUGGCGAAGGCAGCCUCCUGGGUUAACACUGACGCUCAUGCACGAAAGCGUGGGGAGCAAACAGGAUUAGAUACCCUGGUAGUCCACGCCCUAAACGAUGUCAACUAGUUGUUGGGCCUUAUUAGGCUUAGUAACGAAGCUAACGCGUGAAGUUGACCGCCUGGGGAGUACGGUCGCAAGAUUA